UACGUAGGGGGCAAGCGUUGUCCGGAUUUAUUGGGCGUAAAGAGCUCGUAGGUGGUUCGGUAAGUCGGAUGUGAAAUCUCCAGGCUCAACCUGGAGGGGUCAUUCGAUACUGCCGUGACUAGAGGUCGGUAGGGGAGUGUGGAAUUCCUGGUGGAGCGGUGAAAUGCGCAGAUAUCGGGAGGAACACCAGUGGCGAAGGCGGCACUCUGGGCCGGAACUGACGCUGAGGAGCGAAAGCGUGGGGAGCGAACAGG
rnacentral:rRNA from 1 species